rnacentral:rRNA from 1 species
UACAUAGGGUGCUAGCGUUGUCCGGAAUUAUUGGGCGUAAAGAGCUCGUAGGCGGUCUGUCGCGUCUGCUGUGAAAACCUAGGGCUUAACCCUGGGCCUGCAGUGGGUACGGGCAGACUAGAGUGCGGUAGGGGAGACUGGAAUUCCUGGUGUAGCGGUGAAAUGCGCAGAUAUCAGGAGGAACACCGGUGGCGAAGGCGGGUCUCUGGGCCUUACCUGACGCUGAGGAGCGAAAGCGUGGGGAGCGAACAGG